UGACGGAAGGGCACCACCAGGAGUGGAGCCUGCGGCUUAAUUUGACUCAACACGGGAAAACUUACCCGGCCCGGACACUGGGAGGAUUGACAGAUUGAGAGCUCUUUCUUGAUUCGGUGGAUGGUGGUGCAUGGCCGUUCUUAGUUGGUGGAGCGAUUUGUCUGGUUAAUUCCGAUAACGAACGAGACUCUAGCCUAUUAAAUAGGUGCGGGGUUCCCAGCACCUUACAACCUUCUUAGAGGGACAAGCGGCUCCUAGCCGCACGAAACAGAGCAAUAACAGGUCUGUGAUGCCCUUAGAUGUCCGGGGCCGCACGCGCGCUACACUGAAGGAAGCAGCGUGUCUUUAUCCCUGUCUGAAAAGACUGGGUAACCCGUGGAACUUCCUUCGUGAUUGGGAUAGGGGCUUGCAAUUGUUCCCCUUGAACGAGGAAUUCCCAGUAAGCGCGAGUCAUAAGCUCGCGUUGAUUACGUCCCUGCCCUUUGUACACACCGCCCGUCGCUACUACCGAUUGAAUGAUUUAGUGAGGUCUUCGGAUCGAUGUCCGGCGCGGCCGUCCGGUUGCGCCGGUCUGUUGAAAAGAUGACCAAACUUGAUCAUUUA
rnacentral:rRNA from 1 species